rnacentral:rRNA from 1 species
GACGAACGCUGGCGGCGUGCUUAACACAUGCCAGUCGAACGGAAAGGCCCUGCUUUUGUGGGGUGCUCGAGUGGCGAACGGGUGAGUAACACGUGAGUAACCUGCCCUUGACUUUGGGAUAACUUCAGGAAACUGGGGCUAAUACCGGAUAUGAGCUCCUGCUGCGUGGUGGGGGUUGGAAAGUUUCGGCGGUUGUGGAUGGACUCGCGGCUUAUCAGCUUGUUGGGGGGGUAGUGGCGUACCAAGGCUUUGACGGGUAGCCUGCAUGAGAGGGGGACCGGCCACAUUGGGACUGAGAUACGGCCCAGACUCCUACGGGAGGCAGCAGUGGGGAAUAUUGCACAAUGGGCGGAAGCCUGAUGCAGCAACGCCGCGUGCGGGAUGACGGCCUUCGGGUUGUAAACCGCUUUCGACUGUGACGAAGCGUGAGUGACGGUAAUGGGUAAAGAAGCACCGGCUAACUACGUG